CGUUAAAUAUUUAACAGCUAUUGACAGUGGCAUAGCCAGAUAAUAUCACUCCUUGGGCAUGGCUAUUUCACUCACAGCUAUUAUCUUUUAAAUAAGCAAUCAAUCAAUUCAUUUUCUGGGGGUGUAAACGCUUCUCGAGGGUGCAAAAUACCAAAGAAUGCCGAAUGGUGAAAUAUUCUGGCACACCCAUAGGAAAUCUGCAAACUCUUCAAGUCAUCCAAAGAUGCUGUUUCAAAAGAUACAAGAGAUGGGUAACACAGUUAUCCAGUAUAGAAGCUGUCAAAAAAGCAUUGGAAUAAUCGACGUCGUACCCAGGCUCAUGAACGGGAAAGAGCAAAUUGAAGAAGCAAUGAUUGUGGGACGUUGGGUAUGAGUACCACUACGCAUGCGC